GACGAACGCUGGCGGCGUGCUUAACACAUGCAAGUCGAACGAUGAUGCCCAGCUUGCUGGGUGGAUUAGUGGCGAACGGGUGAGUAACACGUGAGUAACCUGCCCCUGACUCUGGGAUAAGCGUUGGAAACGACGUCUAAUACUGGAUAUGAUCACUGGCCGCAUGGUCUGGUGGUGGAAAGAUUUUUUGGUUGGGGAUGGACUCGCGGCCUAUCAGCUUGUUGGUGAGGUAAUGGCUCACCAAGGCGACGACGGGUAGCCGGCCUGAGAGGGUGACCGGCCACACUGGGACUGAGACACGGCCCAGACUCCUACGGGAGGCAGCAGUGGGGAAUAUUGCACAAUGGGCGAAAGCCUGAUGCAGCAACGCCGCGUGAGGGAUGACGGCCUUCGGGUUGUAAACCUCUUUUAGUAGGGAAGAAGCGAAAGGACG
rnacentral:rRNA from 1 species